AUUGAACGCUGGCGGAAUGCUUUACACAUGCAAGUCGAACGGCAGCACGGGUGCUUGCACCUGGUGGCGAGUGGCGAACGGGUGAGUAAUGCACCGGAACGUAUCCAAUAAUGGGGGAUAACGCACCGAAAGGUGUGCUAAUACCGCAUACGCCCUGAGGGGGAAAGCGGGGGAUCGUAAGACCUCGCGUUAAUGGAGCGGCCGAUGCCGGAUUAGCUAGUUGGUGAGGUAAAGGCUCACCAAGGCGACGAUCCGUAGCUGGUCUGAGAGGACGACCAGCCACACUGGAACUGAGACACGGUCCAGACUCCUACGGGAGGCAGCAGUGGGGAAUUUUGGACAAUGGGCGCAAGCCUGAUCCAGCCAUUCCGCGUGAGUGAAGAAGGCCUUCGGGUUGUAAAGCUCUGUCGGGGGGGGAGAAAAGGGCAACCUUGAUCGACCCCCGGAGGAAGCACGGGCUAAGUUCGUGCCAGCAGCCGCGGUAAU
rnacentral:rRNA from 1 species